rnacentral:rRNA from 1 species
GAUGAACGCCGACAGAAUGCUUAACACAUGCAAGUCUUUGGCGAAGCUGUGCUUGCACAGCCUAGCCAAGGCGGACGGGUGAGUAACGCGUAAGGAACUUGCCCUGCAGUCAGGGAUAACAGACGGAAACGACUGAUAAGACCUGGUAAAGUCAGGCGGACUCAUGUCCAGCCUGAUGAAAAGAGAUGCUGCAGGAGAGCCUUGCGUCCUAUUAGCUUGUUGGUGGGGUAACGGCCCACCAAGGCGAUGAUAGGUAGCCGGCCUGAGAGGGUGGACGGCCACAAGGGGACUGAGAUACGGCCCUUACUCCUACGGGAGGCAGCAGUGGGGAAUAUUGGACAAUGGGGGCAACCCUGAUCCAGCAAUUCUGUGUGCACGAUGAAGGUUUUCGGAUUGUAAAGUGCUUUCAGCAGGGAAGAAAAAAAUGACGGUACCUGCAGAAGAAGCGACGGCUAAAUACGUG